rnacentral:rRNA from 1 species
UGGGGAAUAUUGGACAAUGGGCGAACGCCUGAUCCAGCCAUGCCGCGUGUGUGAAGAAGGUCUUCGGAUUGUAAAGCACUUUAAGUUGGGAGGAAGGGCAGUAAGCGAAUACCUUGCUGUUUUGACGUUACCGACAGAAUAAGCACCGGCUAACUCUGUGCCAGCAGCCGCUGUAAUACAGAGGGUGCAAGCGUUAAUCGGAAUUACUGGGCGUAAAGCGCGCGUAGGUGGUUCGUUAAGUUGAAUGUGAAAGCCCCGGGCUCAACCUGGGAACUGCAUCCAAAACUGGCGAGCUAGAGUAGGGCAGAGGGUGGUGGAAUUUCCUGUGUAGCGGUGAAAUGCGUAGAUAUAGGAAAGAACACCAGUGGCGAAGGCGACCACCUGGGCUCAUACUGACACUGAGGUGCGAAAGCGUGGGGAGCAAACAGG